CGAGAAAUGAAAAAAAAAUGGAGGAAGAGGAGGAAUAGGUGUUGUCUUUUCAAUUUCCAUUCUUUACUUCUCCUUAUUUUCAAGAGGUAAGUAAAAAUUAUGAAAUUGAAUUUUUGGGGUUCAUGGAAAAUUACUCAAAAUUGGAAAUUUAGCUAGAAUUAUAUAUGUGUGUGUGUGUGUGUGUGUGUGUGUGGAGGUAUUGAAUAACAAGAGUAAUAUAUAUAUAUUAGAAGAUUUGUGUUGAAGUGUGCAAAAAUGUGAAAUGGGUUUGUAAUUUAGAGCUUGAAUCUUUGAUUUAUUGCAUGAAUAUGAUAUAAAACACCUUAUUUUUAGUUUAUUAUAGUGAGAUAUGACGUUAAGGUAAGAUUUUAGUAUUUAUAAGCAAUUUUUGUGCAAAAUUCAUGGGCAGGUGUUAGUUCUGAAAUUCUACCUAGAAAAGUGCUAUUUCUGUCAAGGGUUUCGGUGCCAAAUUUCAAUAUACAGAAAUUGGUGCCGGAUUUCUAUAUUCUGGAAUGUUAGUGCUAUUUUUGUCAAACCUUGGAUUUUCAGAUUUUUAAAGGUUUGAAUGAAUUUAUAUGAUAAAUAUUGAAGCCUAUGUAAUGGACUAACUAUAUAUAAGGGUUGUAUAUGCAUUAAGGUAGUGAUUUCAAGGAAGUGUGAGUGGUGUAAUGGAUUUGAUAGUGUAUGGUGACUAGUUGAUAAAUCAUUAAAGAGAAGAAAAGUUGAGAAUUGGAAAUGUAAGAGUAAGUAUAGAAGUUGAGAAGUUAAGUUGUGUAUUUAUAUUAAUUUAAUUGUUAGAUUUUAAUUCGAGAAAUUAUACCGUUAUUUCAGGUGGGAACGUGGAAGCUUGGAAAUGUUCGUCAAUUUAAUCAGAUUUCUAUCCAUAGAUCUGUGAGUGAAAAAAUAUAAAUAUUUUCAGGUAUUUAUAAAUUAAGUAUAUUAUCAAAAUAUGUGCAAUUAUGUGUUCGAUUAUAUGAUUAUUAUGAAAAUCUCUUUUAUUAUGAUACAUGUGGAAUUUCAAGGAUUGUUUAUUGUACAUUUGUAACUUGGUAUAUGAGACAUGUGAUAAUGAGAUUUGUUUGGUAUGUGAGACGUGAUAUUGAGAUCGAUCAGAAAAGUACCCAUGAUUAUAUACUUCUUCUAGUUCACAGAGGGGCCUUGGCCGUGUUCUAUCCUACACGGAGGGUCUUGACCUGAUAUUGGUCUUGAUCGUGUACAUAUAGCUCACAGAGGGGCCUUGACCGUAUUUUAGAAUUGAUUACGAGAAGUCUUUGAGACCAGAUUUUGUUCGCGGAGAGGGCCAAAGGCUCGUGACGAAAGUUCUUAACCCGAGGGGCGGAUUAUAUAUUUUGGUUAGAGGGUAUAUUUUUGGUGGAUUUUUCAAUAUAUUUGAUGCAAUGAAAUUAUAGCGUGGUUAUUAGCUGAUAUUUAUAUCAUGAUUUUGAGAUAAUAUUUUAUGACCUUAUGUGAAUAUUUCACUUUUUGUUAUAAUUACAUGAUGUUAUCUUGUGAAUUAUUAAAUGAUAUGAACUCAAUUUUCGAUAGAAAUGAAAAAUUGAAAAAUUAUAAUUAUUUUCGAACUGCUCCACUCACUGAGUUAUCAACUCAUAUAUUUUCACAAUUUUUCCUACAGGUGGAAACUGAUCAUUCUUAGCUGGAAGAGCCUGGUGAUUUCAAAAUAAGAGUCACGCGACAUGUUAAAUAUUAUAACUCAUAUUGAUGAAGCACGAAGUAAAUAUUUUGAGCUCAUCGCAUUAUGUUUUACAUAAACAUUUGAUUUUGUUGCAUUUUUUGAAGUAACUCAUAUUCAGCCUUGGUGUUAGAUUUGACAUUUAGUCAUCAUCUAUCAUCGGUGCACGUCACGUUUCGGGUCCACUAUGGUGAUUCGGGACGGGUCGUGUCAUUCACUUUGUAACUCUUUAAUACCUACCUAUUUAAAUGUGUUAUGCUUAAAAAUGCUAGACUAAACUCUACAUUGUAUUGAAUAAAGAUAAAAUCGUUGGUUGUUUAGCUUUUA
rnacentral:lncRNA from 1 species